rnacentral:rRNA from 1 species
AGUUUUCGGACAACGGAUGUAGAGGAAAGUGGCGGACGGGUGAGUAACGCGUGAGGAACCUGCCUUGAAGAGGGGGACAACAGUUGGAAACGACUGCUAAUACCGCAUGACGCAUGACCGGGGCAUCCCGGGCAUGUCAAAGAUUUUAUCGCUGGAAGAUGGCCUCGCGUCUGAUUAGCUAGUUGGUGAGGUAACGGCCCACCAAGGCGACGAUCAGUAGCCGGACUGAGAGGUUGAACGGCCACAUUGGGACUGAGAUACGGCCCAGACUCC